rnacentral:lncRNA from 1 species
AUAUACACAUGCUACUAUGCCUCUGUAAUCAUGGAAUGCAUGAACAUAGCAAUGAUAUUCUACUAAUCAUGAUACUAUGCUUCAACAAUAAUAGAAAUGAGCUACUACAUAGUGAUGUAUCUACAACAUGCUACUAUGUCUCAAUGUCAACUCAAGGUAUGAAUGCAAAUCUGCUAUGCCAUUCAUAUUCUUUACCCAAUCUGCUUGGAAAUGAGCUACUACAUAGUGAUGUAUCUACAACAUGCUACUAUGUCUCAACAAUAAGAAAAUGAGCUGCUACAUAGUGAUGUAUCUGCACAUGCUACUAUGCCUCAAUAAUCCGAAUGAACGAGCUACUACAUAGUGCGUCGUGCAACUAUGCCUCGAUAGUAUCCAAUCUCAUGGCUAACCUGAAGGUUGCCACCCCGGGGUCAACCCCGACUCACUCUCAAUCUCAUAGGUGAGGAGAAUCUGCGCUCGCACACCGAGACCGUCUGCGGGACAACUACGUCUGCCCCUAGUGAAGUACUCCGGAGACUCGUGCUUCGGUGGAGCGACCACCGACAAGCAAAAACAGACUAGUGAGUAUGAUCCAAUCCUCACAAGAGGAUACCCUAUCUACCAGGGUCAAUGUGCCUCUGCUGCACAAUACCAAAUGCAUAAUCAAUGCCUCAAAUGCACUAAUGCCAAAUGCAUAAUGUCUACAACAUGACAAUCGGGAAAAUCUACUAUCCCUAGAUUCAAAUGCCAUAGUGUUCCACUACACUAGAUUUGAUGCCACUCAUUUAUGUCACGAUGUUAUAUGUGUCUUAAUACACUAAAUCGACAUGCCACUCGUCAAUAUUAUAGUGUCUUUGUUACACUAGUCCAAAUGCCACUCGUCUAGGCCAAUUACAUGUCCAGUUCAUCAUUAUUCUUGUCACUAUAGGAUUCUUGUCACAAGACCCCAUCCUCAUGCAACCUAAGAUCAAGUGUCAAGCCCACAAUGCUACACAACCUAGGUAACAUGCAAGGAAUGGAAAUGUAAUCAUCUACUAAUCCUAUAAUGCACAAUAUAUCAACAUAUAGGAAUAUGAUCAAGAUAUAGAAUAUAGACAUAAAAGGAAACUCAGUUGCUUCGGGAUGACAACCUCCCACCUUUUAAUGCUACCAAGAGGCUAGGGUUCCGAUUUCGUGAUUUUUGGAAGCUUUCGCCGCGAGCUGCGGCAAUCUGUACCUUAACGGCUUCGUUCUUUAAUAUCUUCACAUAGCCUCGUCGUAUCGCCGAACCGACUUCGCCAACGCGUCAGAAAACCUAGUAAUUAGGUUUAUACAUGAUCAAUUUAGAUCAAACCCUCACAUAUUGCAAAAUCCCAUUUUUGAGCCCUAACAUGCAAUUACCCCCAAAUAAUCCAAAUUAAAUGGAGCAACAUGCUAAGAAUGCUCAUUAGAGGCUACUAGAACACUUAAGGCUAAGGAUUAAGCCAAAUCCCAAAAGUUUACCAAAAUGUGAACGCCGAGACGGAAGCACGCCGCUCCAACGAGCGCACGAAAGCUCGAUCCGUCGCUCCCAACGCGUUCGCAAGCUCGUUCUCCGCCAACGCCGCGAAUUUGGGCGAAAGAUCUAGAGAGAUGAGAGAGUUAUUUAGAGAGAGAAAGUGAGGAUUUCUCUCACUAC